UCGGAUAAGAGAUAGGCUAUGUUUUAAGCUAAAGUGAAAAUAUGGUAUUUAUGAAUUUAAUUUUCAAAAGUUAGCUCUGUGUGUUUAUAUUAUGUCUAUGUGUGUGUUUUUCAGAGGAUUCCUAGCAUUUGUAUUAUGAUGAUAUUUGUAAUGAUGUGGCUUGGGACUAUAAUCACUGCGUAUACAUGUUUUUUAGGUUUAGCUUAUCUGUAACCACAGUGGCUUGAUGUUUUCAAAAAUGACCACUAUUAGCUUGCUAAAAUUGAGCAUGCAUCUAACUUUGGUUGCAGCAUCAGGUGUGAUAAACUACUUGCAAUUUAUGCUAUCCCUUUUCUCCUUUCUCAUAUUUGCCAAAGUUUUAAUUAAUCCAAUAAAAGCUGCCACCCUGCAUGUUCACUAUUCCAUAAUAGUGUUUAUGUCUGUGGCGUGUUUUGGGGUGUAACAUUUAGCUGAAUCUAUUUCAUUUGCUUGUUGCAGACCAGAAAAAAAAGUAACUUGCAACUGAGACACAAAAAAUUAUGGACAAUAAGAAAACUACAACAAAAAAGAAGUCUAGAUAUGACAACUUCAAGGAAGAGUUUCUAAAAAAAAUGAAGGAAAAUUCAGUGAUCUUAUAAAAGCCAAUAAUUAAUGAGAGAAAGUUGGUGAAAAUUAUCAAAUGCUAAACAAGAAAGAUAUAAAAACAUGGCUUCAUUAGAUGGAUGAGGCCAGGAAUCAACAUCUUGUUCCACUAUAACGGAAUCACUCACUUGUAUUUAUUUGAAAUUAAUGAGUCUUUUUUGAAUAUGAUUAUUAUGCAUUGUAUGGUGUUAUAUUAUUCCUCUUGGUUUAUAGGUUCCAUUUAAUACGGGUUGCUCUCCUAGCCAAUUCAAGGAAGUUGUAGAAUACAUAUCCAAAUAUAAAAGGUUAUGUACUAAGGUCAAGAAAAUAUGGUUUCAAUCUCUCUUGGAUUUUAAUUUAAUAAACUAUUUAGGGAUUUAUGUGAACGAAUAAUUACUACUUUUGACACACCGACCUCAACACUUGGAAUUAGAGGGGUGUGCCUUAUGGUGGGAAACCUGUCUCUUUAGACGAUGACAGCGAAGCAUCUAAAGCAUUAAAGAAGAAUUAUCUUGGCAAACUCUUCACUGAGUUGAAGAGUAUGAUAAUAUCUGGCAAGGAUGAAAACGGUGUUUUUAUUAUUUACUCUUAGAACAUUUCUUUAUCCCACAACAAGUACAACUGUUAGUAUGAGGAGUAUUAAAAGUUUGAGUGGGAAGAAAAAUGUUCAAGAAUAUGACUGGUCAUCUUUUGUGUUGUUAGAGCUUAUUAGAAAGAUUUCAACUUAUGAGAUAGCAUCAAGGAGUGGACAAGGAAGAAGAAUGUAGGAGGAUGCUUAUUUUUCUUAUUGAUAUUUUACAUGCACCAUUUUCCAUUGGGCCUAACACCAUUAGUAGAUGGCGGAAUGCCUGUGAUGUAUUUGUGGAACCAAUACAUGGUGUAAAAAUGGGUUAAGUUGGAAAAAGAAAGUAUCCACAAUAUUCUUUAUGGUGGUAAGUCUAAUGAAGUGUCUGAAGUUUUACUUUCACUUGCAGCGAUAACUCACCCGGUAUAUAUAUGUCCAUAAUUUAUUGUGUAUAUCCUGAUUUUUUAUUUGCUUAAUAAGCUUGGUGUUGAAACUUGAUUAGGGUGUAGGGAGAUAUAUGAAGACUUUUUGCAAUAUGCUAAUACCUUUGCAAGUAAAGUGCUAAAGUUACAACAAAGUCUUAACCAGCUUCAAAUAUCUGAUAGUAAAGCUAUUGUGAGGGUUGACGAACCAAGCGAAGAAGAAGUGGAGGAAGAGGAAUGUGGAGAUGAAGAUGAAGCUGAUGACGAUGAUGAUGAAGAUGGAGACAAAGGCAAAGAUAAAGCUAAAGAUGCACAUAAUAAUGGAGAUAGGGAUGAAGAUGAAGACGAUGGUGGUUAUGAAGCUGCAGCUAGAGCUGGAUCUAAAGAAAAUGAGGAUGAAGGCUUCGAUAGUAAGGAAGAAACUAUAGAACUUUUGCCUAUUCAAGAAAGUGAUGAAAGACAAGAUGGCAAGAAGAGGAGGAGAACAGAUGAAAGCAUAAUGAUUUGAAGGUCUGAAAGGAAAAAGGUUGAGGUAAAUUGGUCACCUUUUCUGAAGGAACUAAUACAAGGGAGACUUAUCAAAGAAUAAUAAAUAUAUAAAUAUUGCACCAGGCGGACCAAUGAAGCAGAGGGUGAAGAGUAAGUAAUGUGAUAUUACUUUUUGAUAAUUAUGGUGCAUUAUAUUUGAUAUAAUAACACUUUUUUUGGUAGUUAUGUUAUUGAGAUGUACGAUUACUACCUAACUAGGGUCGAAUGCCGAAGUCUUAGUCCUAAAAAAUGGAUAAGUACAACGGUAUGUCUGAAAGUUUUAAUUAAUUAAUUGUUUAAUUGGAUAGUACAUUGAGUAUUGGAUGUGGUUUUUGUAGGUCAUAAGCAUGGUCGCAAAAGUGAUGGUUGGUGAGUAACUUCAUGAAGGGGAGGUAUGGAUGUACAUAUUUGAUUCAGAAUUUAUGGCCAACCUAAGGGAUAAAAAGUUAAGAUGGUCUAUUUUUGACGAUGCAAGGAUGCUCAUGCCUGAUAAACUUAGAUAUAACCUUGAAAAUUGUUAUUAUCUCUUCUUGGCCAUACUUGUGUUCAAUCACUGGUUUUGUUAUUGUGCUGAUCUAAAGAAUGAAAAAUUUUUCAUCCUUGAUUCAUUGGCUGGGAAGUUAUUUAGAGAGAAGAAGAUGAUAGUUGGAUUAUGGUAUGCUUUGUUAAUGCUUUUGCAUAACUACUUGAGGUUACUUAAAUUUUUAGAUGGGAAUAGUUAUCUAAGAUUAGGAACUAUUUAUAGAGAACUCGCAUAAUUAAAUUGUUACAAGCAUGUGACCCAGAGAAAUAUGUAGAGGAUUUUCAGACAGAGAUGAUAUUUGAAGAACUUCUCAAACAAAGUAAUGUGUAAAUAACUAACUACGGAAAGAACUACCUUUUUAUGUAUUCAUUUCAAGUAGACAUUUAGCCUUAUCUUAAUUGCUCAUAUUUGUAAAAAUGAUUGUGGGGUAUAUGUAAUAAAGUACUGUGCAGAAUGGGAUAGUAGAAGAAGAAAAGGAGGACUGACCAUGGAGGACUUUUCAAAUGAACAAUUGAAACAUUUUAGGGUGGAUAUGAUAUGGUGGUUGGUAAAUCACACGAGAAAUGAAGUGAGAAAUGAAGUUUUUGCCUCUAUCUCAAUAGCUAACCGACCAAAGAGGGCAGGAAAGAAGUCUAAAUGAAUUUUUAACCUGUGACCUGUUUUGAUCAUUAAUCUUUGAUGGGUGUGAUGUAUUUGCCUCGCUGAAGAGCUUGCUCUUCAUCAAUGUUUACCAUUUUGAUUUUGUAGAAAUUGCCUCUUCUUCAAUUUUUUUUUUCCUUGAGUGUCUUAGUUAAAGGUGAAGUAUAUAGUUUGUGCAAGUGAGGAUAUGCUCAAUUGAAUUUGAGGUUGUAACUAAAUUACAGGGCUUAUAAGAAUAGGAUUUUUGGCUAUAAAAUUAAGCUAGCCUUUGUGGGAUAUGCUUGACUAAUUUUGUAU